UACGGGGGGGGCAAGCGUUGUUCGGAAUUAUUGGGCGUAAAGAGCUCGUAGGCGGCCUGUCGCGUCGGUUGUGAAAGCCCGGGGCUCAACCCCGGGAGGCGGGUGGAUACUGUCAAGCGUCGAGUCCGGAAGAGGCGAGUGGAAUUCCUGGUGUAGCGGUGAAAUGCGCAGAUAUCAGGAGGAACACCGGUGGCGAAGGCGGGUCUCUGGGCAACAACUGACGCUGAGGAGCGAAAGCGUGGGGAGCGAACAGG
rnacentral:rRNA from 1 species